rnacentral:rRNA from 1 species
UGAGGAAUAUUGGUCAAUGGGCGGGAGCCUGAACCAGCCAAGUCGCGUGAGGGAAGACGGCCCUACGGGUUGUAAACCUCUUUUGUCAGGGAGCAAGAACAGGCACGUGUGCCUGACUGAGAGUACCUGAAGAAAAAGCAUCGGCUAACUCCGUGCCAGCAGCCGNGGUAAUAGCACUGU